GACGUAGGGCGCGAGCGUUGUCCGGAAUUAUUGGGCGUAAAGAGCUCGUAGGCGGCUUGUCACGUCGGGUGUGAAAACCCGGAGCUCAACUCCGGGCCUGCAGUCGAUACGGGCAGACUGGAGUUCGGCAGGGGAGACUGGAAUUCCUGGUGUAGCGGUGAAAUGCGCAGAUAUCAGGAAGAACACCCGUGGCGAAGGCGGCUCUCUGGGACGGUACUGACGCUGAGACGCGAAAGCGUGGGGAGCGAACAGG
rnacentral:rRNA from 1 species